CCCAAAAAAAAAAAAGUUUACCCCCGCAGACGAACGCUGGCGGCGUGCCUAAUACAUGCAAGUCGAACGAACUCUGGUAUUGAUUGGUGCUUGCAUCAUGAUUUACAUUUGAGUGAGUGGCGAACUGGUGAGUAACACGUGGGAAACCUGCCCAGAAGCGGGGGAUAACACCUGGAAACAGAUGCUAAUACCGCAUAACAACUUGGACCGCAUGGUCCGAGUUUGAAAGAUGGCUUCGGCUAUCACUUUUGGAUGGUCCCGCGGCGUAUUAGCUAGAUGGUGGGGUAACGGCUCACCAUGGCAAUGAUACGUAGCCGACCUGAGAGGGUAAUCGGCCACAUUGGGACUGAGACACGGCCCAAACUCCUACGGGAGGCAGCAGUAGGGAAUCUUCCACAAUGGACGAAAGUCUGAUGGAGCAACGCCGCGUGAGUGAAGAAGGGUUUCGGCUCGUAAAACUCUGUUGUUAAAGAAGAACAUAUCUGAGAGUAACUGUUCAGGUAUUGACGGUAUUUAACCAGAAAGCCACGGCUAACUACGUGCCAGCAGCCGCGGUAAUACGUAGGUGGCAAGCGUUGUCCGGAUUUAUUGGGCGUAAAGCGAGCGCAGGCGGUUUUUUAAGUCUGAUGUGAAAGCCUUCGGCUCAACCGAAGAAGUGCAUCGGAAACUGGGAAACUUGAGUGCAGAAGAGGACAGUGGAACUCCAUGUGUAGCGGUGAAAUGCGUAGAUAUAUGGAAGAACACCAGUGGCGAAGGCGGCUGUCUGGUCUGUAACUGACGCUGAGGCUCGAAAGUAUGGGUAGCAAACAGGAUUAGAUACCCUGGUAGUCCAUACCGUAAACGAUGAAUGCUAAGUGUUGGAGGGUUUCCGCCCUUCAGUGCUGCAGCUAACGCAUUAAGCAUCCGCCUGGAACGCGCGCGAGAGAAGAAAACUAAC
rnacentral:rRNA from 1 species